UACGUAGGGUGCGAGCGUUAAUCGGAAUUACUGGGCGUAAAGCGUGCGUAGGCGGCUAUGUAAGACAGAUGUGAAAUCCCUGGGCUCAACCUAGGAACUGCAUUUGUGACUGCAUUGCUAGAGUGUGGUAGAGGGAGAUGGAAUCCCGCAUGUAGCAGUGAAAUGCGUAGAUAUGCGGAGGAACACCAAUGGCGAAGGCAAUCUCCUGGACCUGCACUGACGCUCAUGCACGAAAGCGUGGGGAGCAAACAGG
rnacentral:rRNA from 1 species